CUUCGGACAAAGAGAUAGUGCGCCUAAGGGCUUCCAAGAAAAACCUCUAAACUUCAGGUAAUUAGUACCCGUACCGCAAACCGACACAGGUAGUCGAGGAGAGAAUCCUAAGGUGCUCGAGAGAUUCAUGGCUAAGGAAUUAGGCAAAAUAGACCCGUAACUUCGGGAGAAGGGUCGCCAGCAGCAAUGCUGGCCGCAGUGAAGAGGUCCAGGCGACUGUUUAUCAAAAACACAGGGCUCUGCAAAAUCGUAAGAUGAAGUAUAGGGCCUGACACCUGCCCGGUGCUGGAAGGUUAAGAGGAGAUGUUAUCUUCGGAGAAGCAUUGAAUUGAAGCCCCAGUAAACGGCGGCCGUAACAAUAACGGUCCUAAGGUAGCGAAAUUCCUUGUCGGGUAAGUUCCGACCUGCACGAAUGGUGUAACGAUCUGGACACUGUCUCAGCCAUGAGCUCGGUGAAAUUGUAGUAACGGUGAAGAUGCCGUUUACCCGCAGUGGGACGAAAAGACCCUGUGCACCUUUACUAUAGCUUAGUAUUGACCUUGGAUAAAUGAUGUGUAGGAUAGGUUGGAGACUGUGAAGUGGCGUCGCCAGGCGUUGUGGAGUCAUUGUUGAAAUACAACCCUUUGUUUAUCUGAGGCCUAACCCCGCGCUGCGGGGGACAUUGCUUGGUGGGUAGUUUGACUGGGGUGGUCGCCUCCAAAAGAGUAACGGAGGCUUCUAAAGGUUCCCUCAGUACGCUUGGUAACCGUGCGUAGAGUGCAAUGGCAUAAGGGAGCUUGACUGAGAGACAUACAGGUCGAUCAGGUACGAAAGUAGAGCAUAGUGAUCCGGUGGUUCCGCAUGGAAGGGCCAUCGCUCAAAGGAUAAAAGGUACGCCGGGGAUAACAGGCUGAUCUCCCCCAAGAGCUCAUAUCGACGGGGGGGUUUGGCACCUCGAUGUCGGCUCGUCACAUCCUGGGGCUGUAGAAGGUCCCAAGGGUUGGGCUGUUCGCCCAUUAAAGUGGCACGCGAGCUGGGUUCAGAACGUCGUGAGACAGUUCGGUCUCUAUCUACUGUGGGCGCAAGAAAUUUGAGUGGAUCUGAUUCUAGUACGAGAGGACCGAAUUGGACUAACCGCUGGUGUAUCUGUUGUUCCGCCAGGAGCAUCGCAGAGUAGCUACGUUGGGAAGGGAUAAGCGCUGAAAGCAUAUAAGCGCGAAACCCACCACAAGAUGAGAUUUCUUUUAAGGGUCGUGGGAGAUGACCACGUUGAUAGGCUAUAGAUGUAAAGGCAGUAAUGUCAUAGUCGAGUAGUACUAAUAACCC
rnacentral:rRNA from 1 species